ensembl:snRNA U1 U1 spliceosomal RNA
AUACUUACCUGGCAGGGGAGAUACCAUGAUCACGAAGGUGGUUUUCCCAGGGCGCGAGGCUUAUCCAUUGCACUCCGGAUGUGCUGACCCCUGCGAUUUCCCCAAAUGUGGGAAACUCGACUGCAUAAUUUGUGAUAGUGGGGGACUGCGUUCGCGCUCUCCCCUG